rfam:Cricetulus griseus cell line CHO-K1, whole genome shotgun sequence.
GGAGAGAUGGCUCAGUGGUUAAGAGCACUGUGUGUUCUUCCAGAGGACCUGGGUUCAAUUCCCAGCACCC